CCACCUUCCACUAACCUUACUCAGUCACAACUCACAUGAAAGAAGAUCUGGCGAUGUUUAUUCUUCGUAUGAUCCGUAGAAUGCAAGUUACAACAGGUAAAAGAACGAUUCUUCCAUGCAGG